GACCCGGCAGGCAAACGCGGCGGUUUGGACAUCUCUGGCCGCCAAAACCGUAAAACCAUAUAUUCAGUAAUGUCUAUCGAGUAUCCAGGGUAGAGUAUACCUUAUGGUAUUGGCCCUCUCUCGCGGAAAUAUAUUCUAUUCCUGAACCGCGAGCAUAACUACAUUGAAACAUUCCUCAACUAGGGGAAAUCAUACGACUCGAAUUACUUGGUCGCUCCCGAGAGCAUGCUAUCGGGAACGUUGGGGAACCUGCUCCUUUCGUCAUAUUCAAGACUGAGAUAAUGUUCAUGUGUUGAUGGCAAAUCCUCGGAACUGUAUACAGCGUCUGAUAAUAAUUUUCCAGAUACGCCCCACAGCAUUAAAAUCAAUGACUGCCAGUU
rnacentral:sRNA from 1 species